CCUACGGGUGGCAGCAGUCGAGAAUCAUUCACAAUGGGGGAAACCCUGAUGGUGCGACGCCGCGUGGGGGAAUGAAGGUCUUCGGAUUGUAAACCCCUGUCAUGUGGGAGCAAAUUAAAAAGACAGUACCACAAGAGGAAGAGACGGCUAACUCUGUGCCAGCAGCCGCGGUAAUACAGAGGGCUCAAGUGUUGUUCGGAAUCACUGGGGGUAAAGCGUGCGUAGGCUGUUUCGUAAGUCUGGUGUGAAGGGCGUGGGCUCAACCCGCGAACGGAACAUGAUACUGCGAGACUUGAGUAAUGGAGAGGCAACCGGAAUGCCCGGUGUAGCAGUGAAAUGCGUAGAUAUCGAGAGGAACACUCGUGGCGAAGGCGGGUUCCUGGACAUUAACUGACGCUGAGGCACGAAAGCCAGGGGAGCGAAAGGGAUUAGAUACCCUAGUAGUC
rnacentral:rRNA from 1 species